rnacentral:rRNA from 1 species
UACAGAGGUCCCGAGCGUUGUUCGGAUUCAUUGGGCGUAAAGGGUGCGUAGGCGGCUUGUCGCGUCGGAUGUGAAAGCCCGGGGCUUAACCCCGGGCCUGCAGUGGGUACGGGCAGACUAGAGUGCGGUAGGGGAGACUGGAAUUCCUGGUGUAGCGGUGAAAUGCGCAGAUAUCAGGAGGAACACCGGUGGCGAAGGCGGGUCUCUGGGCCGUAACUGACGCUGAGGAGCGAAAGCGUGGGGAGCGAACAGG